rnacentral:misc_RNA from 1 species
AAUUGUGCAAAGUAACAAUCUCCUGCAAACAUGAUAAAUGGUUAAGGAUCAGAAAUGAAGAAAAUAUAUGCAAGCAAAGUAAAAUUUACAAUGAAUUGCAAUUUGAUACCAAGCUUAUGGGACCUUAAACCAGUAGAGCUGGUAAUUUCUAUUCCCACGAUUAUUAGGGUUUCAAGGUUUGUUAUGGUCAAGAUCUCGAGUCUCAUUCCCCUUGUUAUUAUUAUUAUAAAUUCUUGAAAGGCAAUAUAUGUCAAGGACAAACUGCAAAGAUUAUCGAUUACCUGAAGAUUCCAUUUCGCAUGCAAUCCUUGAUCAAUCACUAACAUUUUUACACACGCAAAACCUAGCUUAACCAAGCUUUAAUACCCUUAUAUAUGUGUGUGUAUAUAUAU